rnacentral:lncRNA from 1 species
GCCUCCUGGGUCCUCCGGAAGUGGGUGUUGUGCAGCCAGGGGGCUGCCAUUGUGCAGCCCCGCAGCCCUCGAAGAUAAACCGGUUAGCCACGGUGAAGCUGGUUAGCCAGCUGAGUGAGUGGGAGGCCGACACGGCCAUGGCUGCGAAGGCGAACUGGCGCUCGGUGUAGAAGGACAGCGCCUGGGUCUUCCUGGGAGCGUUUCCUUAUGAGCUGACGGAAGGAGACGUCCUCUGCGUGUUCUCCCUGUAUGGGGAGAUUGUUAACGUUAAUCUCGUGCGGGCCGGGAAGACAGGGAAGUCUAAAGGAUUCUGCUUUCUCUGUUAUGAAGACCAGAGGAGUACAGUUUUGGCCGUUGACAGUCUUAAUGGCGUCAAGAUCAAGGGAAGAGCUAUCUGAGUGGACCACGUCUCCCGCUCCCGCCCCGCCUCGGGCCUCACGGGAUGUGGAUGACGCCACCAGAGAGCUCUGGGCGAAGGGCUGUGGGGCUGAGACCCCUCAUCCAGUUCAUCGGAGGGCUCUGAAGACGAAGCCCUCUCAGCACAGCACAAACAAGAAAAACAGACAAGAAAAAAGACCGAAGAGAAGACUGCUGCAUUAGUAAAGAGAAGGAGGGACAGUCAGAGCAGCCCUCGUCCCUGCCAGCCGGAGGCCAGACUGAAAUGGAGAGGGACGCCCCAGGCUCCGAUAAACAAACCCAGGACUGGUGUCCUCAGAAGAAGAAGAGCUACCUGAGGAUGUGUCACACAGAAAAAAGGCCGUGAGAGGACACAACCAGAAGGUAGCUGCCUGCAAACCAGAGAAAGAGAUCUCACCAGAAACCAACCCUGCUGGCAGCAUGAUCUUGGACUUUCAGCUUCCAGAACUUGAAACUGCUAGUAAGUGGUAGAAGCAGAGGUUGGAGCCAGCUCUUUUGGAUCCAGGGAGCUCGUCACUAUACCACAUGUUAUUCUAAUACUUCAGAGGUUGGAAAACGAAUAUGGCCCUUUCGUUCAUGACCUCCUCCCAGGAGCAGAGCAGCAGAUAGUGGGGCCAAGAGUGGCCCAAGAACACCCACUGGGGACCUAAUGACGACCACAUUGCGCAAGUCCUGUUUAUCCUUCACUGUGGAAAUCACGUCAUCAUGGAGGCUUCAGAUUCUUUUGUGAUCGUGUAUUCUGGUGCAAGAACCCCUUCCUGGGAUACUGGGUAAAGGGUAGAAUUUCCUGAUGGGGGAUGUGAAACCAUGGUUAAAAUAAGAGAUGACAUUGAAGGAGCUUUCAUGAACACAAUCAAAAAAUUCUUGGAAUUCAAUAAUAAAAAUAUUUAUUAAUAUACUUAUUUUAGCAGAGUAGUCAGUAUUUAUUGAGAACUUAGUAUGUAGUAGACUGUUCUAUGUGCUUUAGACAUCUUAUAUCUUUUAAUUUUCAAGUGCAUGCAAUUUCCAGUCUGUGUGUUGCUAGAGUGAUGGCUGAAAGAGAUGGAAAAGGCAGCCCACAAAAAAGCCUCUGCCACUUCCAGAUUGAUUUUUCAUUGAAUUUGCAGUUGUUUGACUUAAUGCACCAAGCCAUCUGGUUUCUUGGGCAUCCUGUGGACACACAACUUGGCCAGGUCACUUUAGACCUCUCACUUUUUAUUUGAUCUUAUGAUGUAAAGCCUGUGAAUGACUCUCAGGGCUGCGUUUCCUCUGUAAGACACAUAGACCUAUUCAAAACAUAGCAGUAGUUUCUGUUUCUGUUCUCCAUUCCAUUUGGGGAACAAGAAGUGUAAACAAUAAAGGGAAUCGUAUUUUAGCUUACUAAUUCUCAGUGCAGUACUUUUGAUAUUAAUGGUUGAAGCGGUCUAGAUGUCGCUGUUGUCAUUGUAGCUCCAUUUUAAUUUUUGUUUUUAAGGGAGUAUCAAGGUUCACUUUAAGGGACCAAAAUAAUUGCUUUCUUAGAUAUAUCCUGAAGUUUCCUUUCUAAACCAUGAUUGAUAUAUCAGCUACAAAUGUUAAACCCCAAAUAUCUACUGUCUGUUUCCUCUGGAGGAAAGAAUUCUAUGAGGUUGAUAACCACUGUGUAAAGUACAUUACUAACCUGUCAAUAUGUCUAUGUUCUCUCUAGUACCCUGAGUGUUAGGGAAUGUGUCUUCCUUCCAUCAAAGUCACUCUAUACAGAGAUUACAUAUGAUAUGCUAGGGACUAGGGAUUCAGCGCUGUAUACAACAGAUGAUCGUCCCCUCAUGGAGGUGACAUUCUAGUGGGAGGAUAUGCAUUAUGGUUUUAUGGACAUGGAUCCCAUUCUUCUUAGUCUUCUGUCUCAUUCAGUUUUCCUCUUUGAUAAUAAGAUCUAUCUUCUCCAUGAAAAUUCCCCUGAAGACUUCAGAAAUAUUAUUGAUAAGACUCAUUUGGAAUAUAUACACUUGUAAUUUUGUAUUGUCAUCUACUUUUUUUAUACGCAAAUGUCUCUUCUCCAUAGCUAGACAUGAUCGUGUUUCUACUCAUAAAACUUCUGACAGUAAAUGUGUAUCUUUUUUCAUCCACCUAACAACCAGUUUUUCAGUUCUCUAGACACCAACUGAGCGUCCUACAAUUCAACUCAUUUCUGACACUAACUACUCAGAGUUAGCACAGAUCCCACAAGUCAAGAGCUCAGUCCCACAAGACUGUCUCACUUCAGAUGCCAGUUGCAAGUCCCAGGUUUCCAUCUGUACUUCUGACCAAUGGCUGUAAAUUCAUGGGGCUCUCACAACUCCCUCGUCAGGCUCGAUAAUUUGUUACAAAGGCUCACAAAACUCAUGAAAACAGUUAUUUACUAUUAUUACUUUAUUAUAAAGGAUACAACUCAGGAACAGCCAAACAGAAGAGGGCCAGGUGUAGGAGAAGCAGCGCAGAACUUGCAUGCCCUCUCGGGGCGUGCCACCCUCCCAGUACCUCAAUGUGUUCACAAACCUGGAAGCUCUUGGAACCCCAUUGUUUAAGGGUUUCUAUGGAACUUCCAUUCUGGAGGCAUGAUUGAUUGAAUCAUUGGCCAUAGGUGACUGAACUCAAUCUCUGGCCCCUUUUUCCUCCCAAAAGGUCUCGGGGGGGGGGGGGGGGUGGCCUAAAAGUCUCAACCCUCUAAUCACAUGGUUGGUUCCUCUGGCAACCAGCCGCCAUCCUAAAGCUAUCUAGGGGCCCUCCAAGAGUCACCUUAUUAGUGUAAACUCAGGAAUGCUUGAAAGGGGCUUUUUAUGAAUAACAAAAGAUACUUCUGUCACUGCUAUCACUCAGGAAAUUCCAAGGGUUUUAGAAAAUCUGUGUCAGGAACUGGGGAUGAAGAGCAAAUAUAUAGUUCUUAUUCUUACACUAGAUUUUUAAGUUUCUAAGGGGAGGGAUCACUACACACAUUGUUUUAUUACUUUUUAUUUUGCAAAUAUUUACAUACACAAAAACUAUAAAUAAAAGAAGAUAAACACAUGUACCCAUGACACAGCUUAAGAAAUAGAACAUUACCUGUGCAUUUGAAGUUCCCUGUGUUCUCCUGUCUGAUCAUGUCCCACUUCUUCCCUGCCUCUAGAGGGAGCCACUGGUGUUUACCUCCCAAGGUACUUCCAACACUUUAACUACAAUAGACCCUUAAGCACUAUAUAAUAAUAUUCUCUUGCAUGUUUUUAAAGUUUAUACAAAUAAUCUCAUACCAAUGUGUUUGUUCACUUGCCCUUUUCUCUCAACAUUUAUGUUCAUGAGAAUUCGCCACAUUGAUAAGUGUAGCUGUAGUUUAUUCCUUUUCUCUGCUAUAUAGUAUUUCAUUGUUUGAACACAACACAGUUUUUUCAUUCUCUUGUUUGUGAAUAUUUAGAUUUUUUUCUUAUUUUCUACUCUUCUAAGUCUUUAUAACCGUAAUGUCUUUUGGGUAAAAGGUAGUCAGUAAAUACACUGUAUGAUUUUUAUUCCAAAUUAUAAGUCAUCAUCUAUUACCUUCUUGUAUGGAGACGAGUUUAUCUCAUUUAGUUAACUAUGCUUUUCAGUUUCAAUAUGUCUUUCUUAGUGAAGUGUUAUAAUGCCAAACCCAGCAACUUUCCCCUACGUUUUCCAGUAAUCAAAUUCCAAGCUGAGAUCAUAAAUGGGAAGGGUGAGAGGUCGCGUAGAGGUGAAAUUUUCAGUCGUUAUAGUAAAUUAAAGGUCCAAAUAGAAUCUGAUUAAGGAUAAUGCUUACCUUGUAGUGAAACAUGGCUGCUGACUGCCCUUUCUGAGCACACAAACACUGCUCCUGAGCAGUCUCUCUACUACCUUCUGGACAGGUCUCAUUUAUAAAUUUGUAAGUGAACUGCAACUUUCAUGGCUCAUUUUCUGUAACGGAAACUUCCAGAAUUUCUUUAAAUGCAGCCAUCAGCUUAUGGCUUUUAUUAAUCAGUGCUCCAGAAGACAGGCGCCCCAUGGACACCAAAGGCCAAGGGAGACUGCUGCCACUCUGCUGUGCUGCGCGUGAGUGUGUGUUUAGCUUUCCUGGUAUGGUUUGAUUUAACCUACUGGGCAGUCCAUGCAGCUGGCUUGGGAAGUCUCUCAAUAUUGAGUACAAACUGUGUAGAAAACAUGAAAGUGCCAAGAAAAAAAAUAGCUUCAUCAAUGACUAGUUGACCCCUUCUCCUAUAUUUCCAAGUUGUGCUGCAAAUCUGACAAAUGUAGAAAUUCAAAUGCAUGUGUGAUUCUUUGCUGUUUGGCAUUUAUCUCAGCAAAUGAGGAGAUGAUGUCAUAUCACAAGAGAGGUGUGAUGAUAAGUGCGAGGACAAGUCAUCCCUUAACAAGGGAGAAUUAAUGUGCUGUUCUAAAAUGGAACUGUUAUGUGUGCUGUCUACUCAAAAGAAGUAUGAAGAAGUGAAUAAAUGAAGCUGUCAGAUAAAGUGCUAAUGACAUACAAAAUAUUGAAAUAAAUAGCUGAUGAUGCACGAAGCAUCAACAGAUGCGGGUAGCCCUGUGGGCUCCAUUGCUCAUUUCUUUCCAUGUGGUUGUCCUCUUCUGAAUGUGGUGUAGCUUUUGCUCCAUUACUGCUCUUCCAGAUUGGGUCUUCAGAGUGACAAGUCAAGGAGUUGAGCAAUUUUCCAUUGAUUAUAAAGUAACAGAGAUAAGAAAUUAAAAGAAUUCAAAAAAUAUAAGUCAAAUCAAUUAUCAUGGUUUAUAAGGAGUAUAUAUCAUGGUUUAUUGUUUUUAACUGGAAAUUAAAUAAGUAAUAAUGAUUAUGAAAGUGACUGACUAGCUGCUCAGAAACCUGUUCCUUUUUCUAUGCACACAGUAUGAACACAGUUCUCAGCAUUCUUUGCAGUUGAGUUAGGGCCAUGUGCCUAGUUCAGACUAAGACAAUGUGAAUGCAAGUGUAGAAAAUCAACUCUAGGCUUAGUGCCUAAAUUCUCCCAUGAGAUCCUUCAUUUGCUUGCUCUGUGUGUCUGCAAAUGAAAGACUCCAAAAUGGCAGAACCACUUAACGGAAGAAACUCAGAUCCCUGAGUCCUCACCUGAAGGAGAGACAGCCAUGAAAGCUGCCCAAUGCAUGAGUAUUUUCUAUGAGCAAGAAAUAAAGUUUUAUUUUGUUAACAUUGAGAUAUGGGUGUUAGAGCAUCUAGCACUUCUGUCAUAAUAUAGUAAUCAAAUAAGUUUCAUUCAAACUCAUAUUUUUGUCUUAGAAUAUUUGUUAUGAUCUACUAGCUUUUAGAUUCUUUUAAUUGGGUCUUCCUACAACUGAAUUGAAACAAAUAGUAAGUACAAUGCAUUUUAAGAGGAAUAGAAGAUGGAUUUCACUUACAGAAAAGGAAACUUACCACUCACUUGAAAGUUUUGAUUUCUCUUUCUCAGAAAUCUUAUAGUUUCUUGUUCAGAUCACUCCUUUGUAAAUAAUGUUUUGUAGUUUCUAGAUCAUUUUGACCUCUAAAAUAUAACAAAGUUAUCAAUGAGUGCUAGUUUAAAUCUUUUUCUUAUGGAUAUAGGAAGAAAUCAUAAAAGACUUUAAAUGGGCCAAAAAGAUUAUGUCUAAGCACAUCCCUCUGGGUUAUCUUGCUGUCUGAUUCCAUGGAUUCUCUGUGUCUUUUGUUGUCUUUGAGCUAUCUUACCAUUUUUUCAGUUGUAGAUAACUAAUAGCAAUGCAAAUGAUUCUUGGCCGUAGACAGACAAAUGAAUUUUGCCCAGUGGAAACACAAUUGAUCUCCUUCUCUACAUCCCUCCCUCCCACAGAAUAAGCAAGUUUGCAUCUAUUUAUAAAUUUAUUUCAGCAUUACUCCUUUUACAUGUGUAGCUCUUUGAUUAAUCCUUUGAACCAGUUAUAAUAUCCUACUGGUUCCGUCAUUAAUUGAUGAAUUAAAAUUUUUGACAUCUUCAUUUUAUAUUUCUUUGAAAAUCGUGACUAUGUCCUUCUUUUAAAAUUACCCUUUAACAGUUUUGGAGGUCCCACCAAGAAGCCCAGUGGAUUCCCCUGCCUUAGUCUGGUAAUCCGCAUUGCUGGCGAAGUGCACCUCGUAAACAGCCUACGCCCAGUCAGCUUGACUCCCAGAGGUUUCUAUCUCAAGUUUUAACAUGUUUCCUUUGAAAUAACAACAAGUGGUCUCUCUGGACACACAGUGGAUGGAUUCAAGUCUACUGUGUCAUGCUUUGGAAAGCCUGGAGAGCAUAAGGAACAUCUUCAGCUGAGGUGGAGUUUUUAACUGUGCUGUUGGGCAUUGCUUUGUGGCACAAAGUUUUAAUCCACUUAACGGCUUCCAGCACAUUAAUUUUUUUGGCAGAUAUCAUGCGCUGAAGGGACUUUAACUAUCCUCCAGACCAGAACUUCCCCCCCGGGGUGUGGUGACAUGCUGAUAUGCCCAGAAUGGUUAUGUGUGUGUUGGCAUAUCAUCUCCUUGGAACUUGAAGUAACUGGUGGGGCCUUGAGGAAACUUCCAUUUGUUUUUUGUGCUGUUACGUG